UACGGGGGGGGCAAGCGUUGUUCGGAAUUACUGGGCGUAAAGGGUGCGUAGGCGGUCCGCUAAGUUGGAUGUGAAAACUCUGGGCUUAACCCAGAGCCUGCAUUCAAAACUGACGGGCUAGAGUUCUGGAGGGGGUAGCGGAAUUCCUGGUGUAGCGGUGAAAUGCGUAGAUAUCAGGAGGAACACCGGUGGCGAAGGCGGCUACCUGGACCAUAACUGACGCUGAGGCGCGAAAGCUAGGGGAGCAAACAGG
rnacentral:rRNA from 1 species